CUCAUACGCUAUCUCUGUGAGCAAUUGGAACUUCAUGAAAAGGCAAUCCACAAAAAAAUCACCAAAAAAAUUAAAAAAUCAUCUUUUCAAAAGUCAAAAAAAAUUAAAAGCUAUAAAGUUAUGACAAACUCCCUCCGUCUCUCCUCUUGCUCUUGUCUUUCAUCUCUCUCCUCUUGCCACCACUGCCAUCGCGACGCCGCUGACCACCUCUCAUCUUGCCGUCAUCCUCUCUCGAAGACACCACCGACCACCUUUCCUCUCCUUUUUUGCUUUGUUGAUUUUUGUAGCACCUAAUUUUUUUAUUUAUUACCGUCAAUUUUUUUCUCGUUCUUUUUCUGUUCCGCCAAUUCAACACGCUUAGAGACUUGCGAAGAGAUCGCUCGCGUGUGCCCAUUUCUUCGAGUUCCGCCAUGGCUUCAAUCAUUAUCUCUUCUUCCUUCUUCAAUCUCGCAAUCCAUUCUCUCCCUUGGAUCUAAACCAAUCAUUUUCUUUCGAUUUCUUGUUAGUUCCCAAAUCAAAGCCCUAAAUUUCGCUUGAUUUGUUGUUGAUCUGAUCUGAGCUAAGAAAUCGCAUACAGUUUUAAUGGCUUCAGCGAAGUCAUCUCGGUCAAGGGUAAUAACACUGCAGCGAAGAGCAACAACCCUAAGGACUCGGGCAAUAAGCUCGAGGAAAAUCUCAAUGUAUUCAAGUCCGAUAAUUUCGAUGUCGAUGGCUUUGUACAGUCCAAGUGUAAUUCCUUGAACGAGAAGGUUAAGCUUGUUAAAUGCAUUGUUCAGAAUAUUGUGGUGGAUAUCUCCUUCAAUCAAUUAGGAGGGCUCUGUACACUUUGCUUUCUUGAGCGAGUCGAUGGUCUCAUUGGCAAAGAUCAUCUCUUUAAACGCAGUAUCAUAUUGAUUAAAGCAUGGUGCUAUUAUGAAAGUCGUAUACUCAAUGCUCAUCAUGGCUUGAUUUCUACAUAUGCUAUGGAGACUUUGGUUCUAUACAUCUUCCAUUUCUUCCAUUCAACGUUGAAUGGCCCUUUAGCAGUUCUAUAUAGAUUUUUGGACUAUUUUAGCAAAUUCGAUUGGGAUAACUACUGCAUUAGUUUAACUGGUCCAGUUCGUCAAUCCUCAUUGCCAGAGAUUGUGGAUCAGCAACAUUUUCUAACAUUGAAUUAAAGAUACGUGACCGGGAUGGGCAUGAAGUCCCUGAACACCUACCUAUCGGAAGUGCACUCUUUUCAUACACCUGCUGUGAUGUUUGUCUUUGCAUAUCAAUUGGCUGAUGUUGGCUCCACUGGGAUAUAUACUCCUUUUGUUAAAUUUGAUCUGCAUCCUAGUCCAAGAGGCCUGUUUCUUUAUUUCUAUGGUUGGAUGCUGCUGGGAGGUGCUGGUGUAGCUUGGCAGCUGGUGUUGCUGGUUGAAGUUGGGCUGCUGCUGCUGUUGUUGCUUGUUGGUUUGAUGUUGUUACAAUGUUGCUGUGAGGUUGUGGCUGAGCUGGCUACUGCUGUGCAUUUCCUGGUGGCUGCAGCUGCUGCUUUUCCUGGCUCUGUUCUGGCUUGAGCUGGGCUGCAGUUGCUGAUAUGGUUGUGGUUGCAGCUGAUGAUAGGGCCCUAGUUUGGUUUUGGUCCAUCAUCUACUUCUGCAAUUGUACUUUAUUUAUUUUAUUUUAUUUUGUUCCUAUGUGGGCUGGAUAUUGAUAUUCAAUUGUUUGUAUUUUGUUA